GACGAACGCUGGCGGCGUGCUUAACACAUGCAAGUCGAACGAUGAUGCUGGAGCUUGCUCCAGUUGGUUAGUGGCGAACGGGUGAGUAACACGUGAGCAAUCUGCCCUUGACUCUGGGAUAACUGCGGGAAACUGUAGCUAAUACCGGAUACUUUCACCGGAAGGCAUCUUCUGGUGAUGAAAGAAUUUCGGUCAGGGAUGAGCUCGCGGCCUAUCAGCUUGUUGGUGAGGUAACGGCUCACCAAGGCGACGACGGGUAACCGGCCUGAGAGGUUGACCGGGCACACGGGGACUGAGACACGGACCAGACUCCUACGGGAGGCAGCAGUGGGGAAUAUUGCACAAGGGGCGCAAGCCUGAUGCAGCAACGCCGCGUGAGGGAUGGAGGCCUUCGAGUUGUAAACCUCUUUUAGCAGGGAAGAAGCGAAAGUGACGGUACCUGCAGAAAAAGCACCGGCUAACUACGUGCCAGCCGCCGCCGUAA
rnacentral:rRNA from 1 species